rnacentral:rRNA from 1 species
UACGUAGGGUGCGAGCGUUAAUCGGAAUUACUGGGCGUAAAGCGUGCGCAGGCGGUUUUGUAAGCCAGACGUGAAAUCCCUCGGCUUAACCGGGGAACUGCGUCUGAUACUGGAUGGCUUGAGUUUGGGAGAGGGAUGCGGAAUUCCAGGUGUAGCGGUGAAAUGCGUAGAUAUCUGGAGGAACACCGGUGGCGAAGGCGGCAUCCUGGACCAAUACUGACACUGAAAAGCGAAAGCCAGGGGAGCAAACGGG